rnacentral:lncRNA from 1 species
UGAACGACGCACGCCAUAGGAAAACAAUUCGAAAGUGAGGCACGCCGUAGCAAAAUCUACGUGCUUAACAAUAUCGCUGCCACAGUCUCCGCCCAGCCACGGUCUCCGGCCAUCCCCAGGUAGCUUCUCUUCUUACCCAGCAAGUUUCUUGCAAUCGAUUUACAAUUGAUUUUGGGUUGAUGCUGCUCAAUUAUGCUCAAUCUUCGCUGUCAAUCUUCUCUUUCUCGUCCGUCUCCAACUUCUUUUUUCGUGUAGGUUUCAAGAUUGUUGCAGAAAUCAUUCUUCUCCUUCAAUUUCUUGUCUUUAUCGGCAAAAAAUUCUGCUUACCAGGUAUCAAUUUCUAAUUUUUGAUAUCCAAAUAUGGCGUUUUGAGAUUUGUGAAAGUAAAGCUUUUUUUGUGUUUGCUAAGUUGUUUGUGAUAUCUGCCUGCUAUUAGAUUGAUAGUCGAUUGAUUGAAUUGAUUCCUCCUCCGUUACUCUAUUGUUUUUGAAUUGGUUCCUUUGUAUUUUUUUAAGGCUACUGCUAGGCGGAACUAAGCGAACAAGAUUCUGGGUUGUGGCCUCUCUAUUUUCUGCCUUUUUUAUCUUCCUUUUCACCCUACCCUUCCUUUUAUUGGAUUACCCAUAUGGUCGACUUUUUCUUUAAAUAGCAGAAAUAAUCAUCCAAAGAUAGAGAUGGUCAAAUUUCAGUUCAAUUCAUUUGCAUAUUCUGUGAUUAUAAUAUUCCAAAUUCAACCAUAUCUUGAGGGAUUGAAUUGAUUUUCUUAUUUUCAUAUCUCUGUUAUGAAAAUUAUUCUCAAAGUGGAAUAAAGGACAUCUGUUGCUAAAUAACUGUUACAUCUCAUAUUUUCGUACGUAAAAGUACGCCAUAAGUAAAUUGAGAUAAGCUCGAAAAUGAGAUAUUACAUCCCGUAUUUUCGUACGUUAAAGUUUCGUCGUAAGUUAAUCAACGUAAGCUCGGGAAUGAGAUUAUUUUUGAGGUUAUAAGUAUUAUGCUAUUUCAAACAAGUUCGUGAAGGUGAGAGGAUAAGCAAGUCAAAGAAAAUGAGUUUCGUUGGUGAUUAUCAAUUUGGGAUAAAAAUACGGCCCGAGCUAUAAUAUUCGGUAUUUAUGGACUAGUGCCAUACAAGGUACCACAUGACCAUGAUAGUAUGAUGUAUAAAGUGUGUUAAAAGUAAGUAGUAUUUUAAGUAAUUUGAGAUAAUUCUUAAUUAUAUGGGUAAUUGGUUAAUUAUUGGGUAAUGAAAAAUUACCUAGUUAAUUAAGAAAUUGUUGGAUGAUUAAUUAAGAUCUUGGAUAAAGCCUAAAAGGCCCCAACGUGGCAGCAAGUCAAAUGGGGGUGAUAAGUGACUCUUUGGUUUGCAUACUAUGUGGGAAAAAUGAUUGGCCAAGUCAUCCACAAGAGUGGGGCCCACAGCCCCCAAUUUAAAGAGACUUUCCCAUAUCAUUAAGAGUGAAAAGCUUAUGCUUGCUAAGCUAACAGAUGAAAUCUCAAAACAAGGAAUUUAUAUGAAAUCUUUAACAAAAGUAACGAAUGAAGGCUUCAACCAAUUCAUAUGGGAAUUCAUGUGGUAGUAACGUGAUCUUCUUGAAACAAAAAUUCAAACGAGAUUUCUUAGUAUCUUAAGCAACGUGAGAUUUUGCAAUAGCAGCGUUAUUGAAUUGCUCACAUCUUAAGAAGAAAGCUUCAACAAAGAUGAUUCCGCAAUAGCAACGUUAUUGCUUCAAGCAUUUCAUACGAAGACUACUUAAUAUUAUAGCAACGUGGGAUUUGCGAUUCUAAAAAAGCCCGGUACAAUCUUUUUCAAGAAUAUCAUACGGAUUUUUCCCUACUUCGAUCUCGCUGUUGCAUGUUUUGUCGCGUUUGGCAGGUGUUAAAGGGAUUGUCAAGAGAAUCGGCUCAGGUAUGUUAAGGCUAUCCCUUCUUUCUUUUUGGUAUGAUCUAUACAAUGCAAACGAAACGAGCAAAUGCACAACUUUCAUAAAUGACUCUAUUCAUAGAAGUACUAGAAGUACCUAUGUUCUUGACUCCCCUGUGUCCUAUUGUUCUAUCAUCUGUUCAUGGGUCUCAGAAAAUACGUAAGUUAAUAAAGUUUAUUUCAUGAUAUUAAUCAAAGGCAUAUUGGUCUUAUGACAUACCGAGAAGUCUUAUUAACACACUUCUUAUGCAUUUCAUGCAUUUAUACAUGUAUAUUGACUCAUGACCAGAUGGCGUUAUAUACACAUAUAUUAUAUGUAUAUGGGAUAUGGGAAAAGGUUACGGCAUUAUAUACGCACCGCCACCUGAUCAGCUGGUAUACGUUGAUGAUUUGCCCAUAGUGACCGAGAUGAUAUGAUGGGAUGCCCUCAGAGGCUUGAUGAUGUUACGAACACAUAUACCUAUGCAUAGUAUGGCAAUUAUACGCAUAUGCAUGGCAUUAUAAAUAUAAAAUAAUUUACAGAUCUAUUCAGACUUACAUGUUGAGUCUUUUACUCCAUGUUUCUAUAUGUCUUUUAUUUACUGAUUUUCAUUCCUUACAUACUCGGUACAUUAUUUGUACUCACGUCCCUUUAGCCUGGGGACGCUGCGUUUCAUGCUUGCAGGUCUCGAUAGACAGGUUGCGAGUCCUCCAAGUAGGCUAUCAGCUCAGCAGAAGGUAUUGGUGCACUCCAUUGCUCCGGAGUUGCUUAUUUAGCCAGUAUGAUUAGGACAUGUAUUGAUUGGUAUGGCGGGGCUCUGUCCCGACCUUUAUGGUGUUUAUGUACUCUUAGAGGCUUGUAGACAUAUGUCAUGUACGUGAAAGAUUAUAUGGCUUUGUCGGCCUAUGUUCAGUAUAUGAGUGAUCAUUUUGGUCUUAUAGGCCCGUAUGUCAUAUGUAUAAGUUUGUAUUACAUGUUGGGUCGUCCAAUGUUGAGUGUUUCCUCAUGUUUUAUUCUACUUAUAUCACGACAGACUCUCCAG